ACAUGCUUGCCUCUCUCUGAACAAAAUGACCAGGUGUAUGUUCAUCGGAGGCUGGCUGACUCUAAACGAGAGAAAACAUUUAUCACCUUCCAGUGCAAACACAGACUAUACAUUUGGUUAGUAAUCAUUCCAAAAAAGGCAAACAGGGAAAAGUAAUGGCAGCAAAGAAUUUUGAUGGAACAUGCAAAGAAUAUACAAACGCUCCGUCGUCCAUUUAGUUUUCUUGUAUCCUACCAUCGUUAAUCAUGCUAACAAUUUAAAGGGCUUUUAUGACAAAUCGGUUAUGACACUCAGUGAAACAGGGUUUGGAGCAAGCCACAUUAGGGGGGCAGAUAUUG